GAACGGGCAACGGUAGGUCAGUAUGCCCCGAAUGAGCUGGGCUACACCCGGGCUACAAUGGUCGAGACAAUGGGUUGCUACCUCCAAAGAGGACGCUUAUCUCCCAAACUCGAUCGUAAUUCGGAUUGAGGGCUGAAACUCCCCCUCAUGAAACUGGAUUCCGUAGUAAUCCCAUUUCAAUAAAGUGCGGUGAAUACCUCCCUGCCCCUUGCACAAACUCUUUACUCUCCCUACUACUUUCCCAUUUUGUUUA
rnacentral:rRNA from 1 species